GGUUGUGGCUCAGGGGUAGAGUGCUCGCUGGGACAUUGCGAGGCCCUGGGUUCGAUCCUCAGCCCCA
rnacentral:tRNA from 1 species